GUUCAAUGGAUGCCUUGGUGCAACACACCGAAGAAGGACGUGGAGGGCUGCGAUAAGUACCGGUGAGCUGCCGUCAAGCUUUGAUCCGGUAAUUUCCGAAUGGGGAAACCCGCUUGUGCAUGGCACAGGGGUUCUUAAGUCACUUAAGUACCUUAAGUUACUUAGGGGUUCUUGCGCUGUGCAUGAGCAUCCUUUUGCGAAUUAAUAAGCUUAAGGAAGGGUACCGUCUGAACUGAAACAUCUAAGUAAGGCGAGGAAAAGAAAGUAAUUAACGAUUCCCUGAGUAGUGGCGAGCGAAAGGGGAAAAGCCCAAACCAGGUACCAUACGGUACCUGGGGUUGCGGGACUCUAAUAUGAGAUCUCACUUAAGAUAGCAGAACUGUCUGGAAUGGCAGGCCAUAGAGAGUGAAAGACUCGAUAUGUGUUGCGACCGAUAGUGAACUAGUACCGUGAGGGAAAGGUCGCUAACAAGCAGCCGGAGCCAGGUACCGUCUGGUACCUGGUGACGACGUGCCUAUUGAAGAAUGAACCGGUGAGUUUUUCCAUUCUGUAGUCUAACCCCGCCUUUUGGCCGUAAGCCAAAGGCGCAAAUUCGAAGCACGAAUAUCGAAAUACUAAACAAAUUCGAAUUUUCAAAUUUUCAAAAUUCGAAAAAGCUGGUUUUGAUCAUUUGAAUUUAGGAUUUUGUAUUUGUUUCGGAUUUAGAAUUUAGAAUUUUGGAAUUCUGACCUUUGCGAGUUUGCGAGCAAAGGGCGGGGGGAGGCAAAGUGAAAGCGAGCGUUAAUAGCGCGUCCCGCCCUUUUUGGGUUUAAGUUAGACGGGGACAAUGUUCAAUUUGAACUUGAAAAGGGCGGNNNNNNNNNNNNNNNNNNNNNNNNNNNNNNNNNNNNNNNNNNNNNNNNNGUCAGUUGCAAGUGGCUGGGAUGAGCUGUGGUUAGGGGUGAUAUGCCAAUCGAACGCGGAGAUAGCUGGUUCUCCCCGAAAUAUAUUUAGGUAUAGCCCCCGUCAAAGUUCCUAGGGGUAGAGCACUGAAUAGUCUGUGCGCAGCAAUGUGUGCUGAUUAAUCAAACUUCGAAUACUGGGAAAUAAUCUACUCACUUGUCUAAGUUCCGGAGAUCGGAAUUCAGAUGUCGGAUCUCGGACGUGAUAGUUUGGGGUUCGCAUGCGUAGCAUGCGAUUACGAAUGGAUGCGAAUGCUAGAUUAAUGCGAAUGAAUGCGAAUGUGCUUCGAUUUAAUAUCUCAUUGUUGAUAUUUUAGAUUAUUGAUGCAUUCGAAUAAAUUCGCAUAUAAAAAGUAUUUGCAAAAAUUAGUAGUCGCCUGCUGCGCAGGCGAGCGGUAGGGGAGCGUUCGCAUAUGCGGUGAAGGCCACGGCGUAAGCCGGACUGGAGCGGUGCGAAGUGAGAAUGCCGGUAUGAGUAGCGAAACCCCGGUUGGAAUCCGGGGCGCCGAAUGUCCAAGGUUUCCUACGCAACGUUCGUCGACGUAGGGUUAGUCGGUCCUAAGGCGAGGCCAGAAGGCGUAGUCGAUGGACAAGCCGUUAAUAUUCGGCUACUUUGACAAAAUCGUUUUAAAGCAAAGGGAAGACGAAGAUGGAAGACUUCUGGGUCGAAAUGAUACGGCCCCUAAAAAGCAAGGAAGUGAAAAGUGGAAAAUCCCUUUUUAUGAUUAUUCGAGCUUUGAUAGCAAAGGUACCAAACGGUACCUGGGCGCAGUUAACGAUGCCAAGCGACUGUUUAACAAAAACACAGGUCCCUGCUUAAGUUGAAAAACGAUGUAUAGGGGCUGACGCCUGCCCAGUGCUCGUAGGUUAAAUGCCGUAGGUGAUCCCCGCCCUUUUUGGGCUUUAGAUUUUCGUUUGUUACUAAACUAACGAAAUUUCAUUUUGAGUAAAUUUUUAAGUCUAGAGCUUGAAAAGGACGGGGUGAGCUUGUGGUAUAAGCCCGGGUAAACGGCAGCAGUAACUAUAACUGUUCUAAGGUAGCGAAAUUCCUUGUCGGGUAAGUUCCGACCCGCACAAAAGGCUGAACGACUUGGCAACUGUCUUGAGGAAGGACUCGGCGAAAUUGCAAUGGCUGUGAAGAUGCGGCCAACUUGCACCAGGACAAAAAGACCCCGUGGAGCUUUACUGCAGCUUGACUUUGUUUCAACUAUUGGAACUGUAUAGCGUAGGAGGGAGUCAGGUACCAUUCGGUACCUGACAACAAUGUAACACCUCUCUUUUCGAUGGCUGGAACUUACCGUUUGUCCUAAUAAAAUACGGGAGACGGGACAGUGUCUGGUGGGCAGUUUGACUGGGGCGGUCGCCUCCUAAAAGGUAACGGAGGCGUACAAA
rnacentral:rRNA from 1 species